rnacentral:miRNA from 1 species
UGAGGUAGUAAGUUGUAUAGUU